GCACUCAUCGUCGUUAGUAAACACUAGAUCCAGGAAUCUGUUGUUUUGAUUCGGAAUACUGCAAAUUUGCAACAAGCCACAAGCAGUCAUUGAAUCAACCAACAGUUCUUCUUCUGGCUGUCGUACUUGAUAAGGUGACGACGAAUCAACAAUAUUGCGAAUGCUAUUUACAUACGACUCAUGUCGAUCGAGUUUCGAAUCAGGAGGGAGAUUCGAAAAUAACACUGCUGCAAAACCUCUCAUUAACAGCAAUCAGCACUCCACCACCACUAGACUUAUCAGAAUUGGUUGAAGAUCUAUCGCAACGAAUGCGUAAACAUCAAAAUCACGUUCCAGUGCAGACAUAAAAACAGUUUCCAGCCGGGCACUACUUCGGAUGCUAUUCACAUUUUGCUGGAUCAUGCACGCAAGAAUUAAACCUUUCUGGACUAGCAACACUACGUGACGAGGGUAAAGAGCGAGGUAAAUCAGACCGUCGGGGAUUGUUCACUAUUUGGUUGGGCCGGCGGAGGGAUGCGAAAUAAUU